CUUCACAUGGGGUCAUCGCCCCUUCUGGGGCUGGGUAAACAGAGGUGUGCGGGCACAGGUGAUGUGACAGUGGCCCGCUCUGGCUUCCCGCGUGUGCUGCCUACCUCAACAAUACCUGUGUCACUGCUGUAGAACGGCUGUAAAACAGAAGGAAGCCAGAGUCACCCACACGUCCAGAGCCAGAGGGAACCGGGUGGCCUUGUAGCCGCAUCCUGUCGUCCUGGCCCCAGAAUACAGGAUCGAGGAACCAGAAGCCAGGUUCAUAGAAAAUACCCAAACUGCAGCGCAGAGAGAAAAGACAGAUGUCGCUCGUCACAGUGUCCCUGGUUGGGAUCCUCUCAGUGCGUGUUCCUCACGGCUUCUAGAGCAGAUCGCUUUCCUCCGGUUGACUUCCGGUUCCUCCGUGACCUUUCCUGUGUUUGCUUUCUGCCGAGCGAUCUUUUCAUUUCUGACACUCAGGCAGAAGUUCCACUGAAGGCCUCUGAUUGGUCCUCUCGUUUCUUCAGUGCCUUUAGUCUUGAUUUUUAACGAAAGCUCGAAGCAGAUACUUCAAAAUACAUACUUCUCCAUUUGGAAAUUUUUGUAAAAUAUACUUCUUAUCCUCAACUUGCUUGUUAUCUUCUCUACUUUUAGAAUGAAGGAUUUGGGGCGCCUGGGUGGCUCAGUCGGUUGAGCAUCUGACUUCGGCUCGGGUCAUGGUCUCGCGGUUCGCGGGUUCGAGCCCCACGUCGGGCUC